GUCUAUGGCCAUAUCACCCUAAACGUACCUGAUCUCAUCUGAUCUCGGAAGCUAAGCAGGAUCGGGCCUGGUUAGAACUUCGAUGGGAGACCUGGCAAAGUGCAUUGGGUGUGUCC
rnacentral:rRNA from 1 species